UUGAGAGUCCAGGAUGAAAGCCAUACAAGC
rnacentral:piRNA from 1 species